CCAUCAUCGACCCUGCAGUUUGCCGCCGAGUCCCCCUCAAAAAUCCGCCUCUUCUGCUCAAAUCGGACCUCUCCGUCGCCGUGGACUUCCUCUCCAAAUUGGACCUCGCCGCCGUGGACGAAGGUCAUCUUUUUUGGCGACAAAGUCAUUCUUGAGGAACCUGUAGAGAACUGGCCGAUUUGCGAUUGCUUUCCAUUCUACUAAAGUUAUAUGAGAUUGAUGUUUUGAUGGGCUCAUUAAAGUCAAAAACAAGGACUUCAGCAUAUUUCUCUCUGUCUUUGGUUAAGAUUCUCUAUAUAUGAAACUAAUUGUAAUAGACUUUGUUGGUUAAGAUCAUAUAUAUGAAAUUGAUUGUAAUAGACUUUGUUGGUUAAGAUUUUCUAUAUGAAAUUAAUUGUAAUUAAUAGACUUUGUGACUGGAAAUAAAUAAUUAUAUUUUAUAUUAGGAAUAUCAUAAAUUUACUUCA